rnacentral:lncRNA from 1 species
GUCAACCCAGGAAUGGGCUGCCACGCCCAUGCAAUUACACUAAUCAGAUCUGCAAUCGGUCGAUGGGGCACCGCCCCGCCAAACUAUGUUCUGUCUGCUUCUAUCCAUGCUGGAGUAUCAGUCGAGCAAGCGAUUCAAAUCCCAGAUUCGUACGCAGACGUCGUUUCGCCAAGGCAGGACACUCCAUUGCGUGGGAGGAAGAGAGGCUGGGGCCGUGGGCAUGUAGGAACGCCCCCCGAAAUAAUUGCUCCGCAACCUGCAAGGCAACCUCCACUGCAGCCUCUACCACAACCUCCACUGCUACCUGAACAACCUAAACUGCAACCAGCACCUGCAUCGAUUCCUCCACAGGAGCCACGAUGUCUGGUAGGACGGCAGAAAAGUUGUUUUUUUUGUGAACCCACCUCACCACCAAACGGGUUUAAAAUUUCAUGUUGGUACAUCGACGCAGCAACUACUCAGUGUCAACAUGCAAUCACGAUUUUAAGCGGGAUGGCGGCUCUUCCUGCGACGAGCCUGAUAACUAAGUGAGUUUUCAAUUUUUUGCCAGUACACUGAAAAUAGGUAUAUGUAGUAAAUCAUUCUUGGAAUUAAAGGGAUUUUUCUUUAAGAUUUUACUCCUCUUUCAGGUUAGUCAUUCAAGAAAAUCAGCUUUUUACAAUUUUUGUUUUUACCCAUCUUCUCAAGUAAGGUCUAUGAGGACAAGAUUCAAAAAGUUCCCUGAGAAAAUCUGCCCAAAAAGUUUUUCAAUAGUGCAAUGACCUGGCUGUUUAUUUUUGUUAUGUUAAAUUUUCUGAUUCUGAGGACACUUUUUGUAUUUGUCAACUGAGAUAUGUUUCGAAAUAAUGCGGCGAGAUGAAACGGAUGCUACAGAUCCAAAUUUUCGGAAGUGAGAUUUUGUCAAUUGGAAAUGUGGAGCUUGUGGUGACAAAACGGUUGCCAAUGAGAAUUAGGUACGAAACUUGUGUAACUUUAAUGAUGAUGGUAUUAUCCUCCAGAAAAUUUUGAAGAGAGAUUUCAUGCAUGUUCAUUUCACCUUCAUAUCCUUGAAAUUGAGAUAAGAGAGCUUUCGAAGGGAAAAUGGCAAAUUAAAUACGAAGAUUUCCCAUUGAUAAAGGGUAUAAGCCUUGGCCUGAUUGAAUUAAAUCAAGUUUUCAGAACGUUAAUGAAGUCCUAGACUAUUUGCAUUCCACUAAGGUGAUGUUUUGAAGCCAAAGCUGAAGAAGGAAUAAAAGUAAUGGAAGAUUAUUGAGUUUCUUCAAAGAGCCCCUGGUAAAGCAGUUCAUUGUUCAGUGGACUUGUGUAUACAGAAAACUUCAUCCAUCUAGAAAUAGGCAGAUGACAGUGAAUGACAUAAGAGACACGUAUGUUCUUUGUAGGAAGAGAGAAAAAAACUUUUGGUGAGGCAGCGGUUGGUAAUAAUAGAAUUACUUUUUUCAAUCUCAAGGUGUGUGAUCCUCUUGACCAGUGAUGUUUUUAAUCCUUGGCUUAUCAUGAGUUAUACAAAUUUCAAUCGUUUCAUGCAGAGGCCGCUCAUGUCCAUUCUUCCAGUCUUGAGUUUUUUUGAGUCCAUAAUAGAUUCGAGAGUUGAAUUUAAUGAUGAAUGUGGCGUUAUUACUCGUUUUACACUUUGAUGGUGGUGUCCAAUCUUGAAAAUUAUUAUAAGCACAAGAAAACUAAAAGCUGGAAAAAUAUACAUUACAGACUUUCACACGACAUGACUCAAUUACGAAAUGAUAAAUGCCAGAAAAGAUGAAUUAUGAAACUUAGAAUGGACCACCAGACAAGGUGCAAAUUUCAGCAUUUUGAUACAUGUUUCUCAAUCAACAUUUCACGUAAAACACGAUGCGCACAAGGAAAAUUACCGAAAUCACAUCCUUACGAAGAUAUUCAAUAAUUCUUGAUGCGUGAAUUCAAACCACCCGCUUAUGAAAACUCAAUGCUCUUUGUGAUUCACAUCGCGCGCUAAAUGUUUAUCAUGACAGUCUCUGAGAUAUAAAAAUCUGGCAACCUCAAUCUCGAUGCUUUGGUUCAGCUGUAGCAAAUUGCUUAUAGUUUGAACAACACAUGGUGGGAAUUGAACAUUGCUCGAUUGAGAAGAUUGCUGAAACCGUUGUAGUGCGGGUUUGACUCAUGUAGAGCUUUGAGUUUCUUGUGAGCGGCAGUUCAAAUUCCUCGUAACCAAUGUGAAAUAAAAAUGUUAAUAUCUCCGUUAGGAGUUGGUUUCAGUAAUUUUUGUUGCGCGAAUCGUGUUCUACGUGAAAUUCUGGUUAAGAAACAUGUAUCAGAAUGCUAAAAUUCGUACCUUGUUUAGUAGUCCAUUAUGGGUUACAUAACUUAGCAACACCUCAUAAGGAACAGGGUUGCCACAGUCCGGGAAUUGUAUAAAGUCAGGGAAAACCGGGAAAUGUCAGGGAAGUUGAAUCUUCUUUAUUUGCUUUCUAAAAUGGGUUUGAGGUCUCGAACUAAACAUUUUGCCCAAACACUAUUUUCAAUUAUGUCCUCUUAGCCAUUUGCCAUAUCUUCAAUUGUCAGGAAAUUUCACCAAAAUGUAACAGGGAAAUGUCAGGGAAUUUCAUUUUCCAAUUUUUGUGGCAACCCUGUCUGAUCGAAUGACUCUUAAUUUAAUAACCGGAACUUGCUCUGCUAUACCACUUAUUUGACAGUUGAUGAUUAUUUAUUUUCUCAUGUUUUCAGAUGUUUGAAGCAGGCAGCCUAGAACACAUGUCUUGAAAGAAAAUGCCAACUAUUUUCGUUCAUCAAUGAUUACUUUUAGACAGAAUUGACUUCUCUCUUACUGCCCUUUUUAAAAUAUAUAUAUGUAUUUGUUUAAAUUUAAUGGUCAUUUUGUUUACUUGCUAAUUUUAAUAUUCAGUUAUUAGUGUUUUGAAUGCGUCAGUGAGUUGCUAGUGUAACACUGAUUUUUGUUCCUAAUUUUGGAAACUUGAAUAAAUUUCAUGCGCUCAUGUAAACAAGCUCGUUCUUAGACUAACAGUGCAACUAUGGCAAAUUUCACCUGAGCCUUUCUUUAGCACGUUUAACCCAUAUUUUGUACUUGUAUCCCCUUGAAAUAUCAUUACGUUAGUGAGUCAACAGAGUAAUGCUGAUUUUUAUUCCUAUUUUCGGAAACUUGAAUAAAUUUCAUGCGCUCAUGUAAACAAGCUCGUUCUUAGACUAACAGUACAAAUAUGGCAAAUUUCACCUGAGCCUUUCUUUAGCAUGUUCAACCCAUAUUUUUUACUUGUAUCCCCUUGAAAUAUCAUUAUGUUAGCAAGUCAACAGGGAAUUACUGAUUUUUUGUUUUGUUUUCAAGAACUUAAAUAAAUUUUAUUUUUUCUAC